rnacentral:misc_RNA from 1 species
AACCUUAUGGACCUGCGGGCGUAUACCUGCGGAGGGAUCAUUACAAGUGACCCCGGUCUAACCACCGGGAUGUUCAUAACCCUUUGUUGUCCGACUCUGUUGCCUCCGGGGCGACCCUGCCUUCGGGCGGGGGCUCCGGGUGGACACUUCAAACUCUUGCGUAACUUUGCAGUCUGAGUAAACUUAAUUAAUAAAUUAAAACUUUCAACAAUGGAUCU